rnacentral:rRNA from 1 species
UACGUGAGGGCCGAGCGUUGUCCGGAGUUAUUGGGCGUAAAGCGCGCGCAGGCGGCUUCACGCGCCCGACGUGAAAGCCCCCGGGCUUAACCGGGGAGGGUCGUCGGGGACGGUGGAGCUUGAGGGCGGGAGAGGUCGGUGGAAUUCCCGGUGUAGUGGUGAAAUGCGUAGAGAUCGGGAGGAACACCUGUGGCGAAGGCGGCGUUCUGGACUGCAACUGACACUGAGGAACGAAAGCCAGGGGAGCAAACGGG